AUUGAACGCUGGCGGCAUGCCUUACACAUGCAAGUCGAACGGCAGCACGGGAGCAAUCCUGGUGGCGAGUGGCGAACGGGUGAGUAAUAUAUCGGAACGUGCCCAGUCGUGGGGGAUAACGUAGCGAAAGCUACGCUAAUACCGCAUACGAUCUAUGGAUGAAAGCGGGGGAUCGCAAGACCUCGCGCGAUUGGAGCGGCCGAUAUCAGAUUAGGUAGUUGGUGGGGUAAAGCCUACCAAGCCUUCGACCUGUAGCUGGUCUGAGAGGACGACCAGCCACACUGGAACUGAGACACGGUCCAGACUCCUACGGGAGGCAGCAGUGGGGAAUUUUGGACAAUGGGCGCAAGCCUGAUCCAGCAAUGCCGCGUGCAGGAUGAAGGCCUCGGUUGUAACUAGCUUUGUACGGAACGAACGGACUAACUCUGUG
rnacentral:rRNA from 1 species